GCAAAACACUGCCCCGCCCCCACUCCUCCGCAUUUACAGCCAUGGCAUUUAUAGCCAGGUAGCACUAGAGCAGCAGUGGACUAUAAGGGACCAUGUGGAAAGGGACAAGUGGAAUCACAAGCCCCUGGUGCCAACAAAUGAUUGACCAUUGUUGGUACUAGAGCUUUGACCCCUGAAAGAAUCCAUUUGCCUGUGCACCAUG
rnacentral:lncRNA from 1 species